AGCGCAUUUUCGUCGUGAUUUGGAAGCGUCCAGCGUCGUCUCUCACACGCCACGCAGCUUGGCCAGAAAUUGUUUGACUGGGCGAUACCGAAGCAAUCGCUCACCUCAAAUUGAGUACUGGGCCCAGUCGACCGUCAUAGGCGCAUCGUCUUUAUUUGCAGGACAGCACUUAGUGUCAUGGUUUGGAAACAUCCGUUGGCGUCUCUCACUCGCCACGAAGCUUGCCAGUAAUUGCAUGUCAGUUGGCUUGGCGGUCACAGUAACGCAUUCAAUCGGCUCAAUAGUAAUGGAUGGCCUGGAAGCAGGCCGGUAGCGAUUCAGAUUGCUAGAUGGAGCCCAACAGGAGCUGCUGAGCUGUUGCCCACUUUGUUUGAGAGGGCGGUGCCGGAGCUGUCGCUCACUCCAGGUUGAGUAUUUAGCCAGCAGGCCGUCGUGGAGCAUGUCAUCUUCUUGGACAGCGCAUCAUCUUCGUGAUUUGGAAAUAUCUGGUGGCGUCUCUCACACGCCACGCAGCUUGACCAGGAAUUGUUUGUAUGAGCGAUACCGAAGCAGUCGCUCACUUCAAAUGAGUAUUUGGCCCAAUUUACCGUCGUGGGUGCAUCGUCUUCUUGGGCAGCAGUUCUGCGUCUUGCUUUAGAAACAUUCAUUGUCGUCUCUCACACUCCACAAUCCGUCCAGUAGUUGCAUGUCAGCAGACCCGGGUGGCCCGCAAACAGGCCGGUUGCAGUUCAGGAUGCUAGAUGGAGCCCACAAGGAGCUGCUGGGCUGUUGAAUACCUUGUUCGAGUGGGCGAUGCCGAGGCCGUCGCUCACUCCAAAUUGAGUUCCCAAACCUUGCUUGCAGGACAGCGCAUCAUCGUCGCGGUUUGGAAACAUCCAGUGGCGUCUCUCACACGCCAUGCAGUUUGGCCAGGAAUUGUUUGAAUGGGCGAUACCGAAGCAGUCGCCCACUCUAAAUUGGGCAUUCGACCAGCAGGCCGUCGUGGAGCAUGUCAUCUUUUGGACAGCGCAUCAUCAUUCGUGAUUUGGAAAUAUCUGGUGGCGUCUCUCACACGCCACGCAGCUUGUCCAGAAUUUACAUAUCAGUCGACUUGGUAGUCACAGCAGCGUAUUAAAUCGGCUCCGUUGUACUUGAUGGCAUGCAAGCAGGCUGUUUGCGUUUCAGGAUGCUGGAUGAGCCCACAAAGAGCUGCUGAGCUGUUGCAUAUUUUGUUUGAGUGGGCGAUGCCGAGGCACUCGCUCACUCCAAAUUGAGAAUUUGGCCCAGUUGGCCGUCGUGGGCGCAUCGUGUUCUUGGUCAGCACUUCUGUGUCGUGGUUUGGAAACAUCUAUUGGCGUCUCUCAGACUCCACAAUUUGUCGAGGAAUUGCAUGUCAGCUGACUUGGCGGCAAAGUAUUAAAUCGGUUCCGUUAUGAGUCAGGAUGUUGGAUGGAGCCCACAAGGAGCAGUUGAGCUAUUUCAUAUUUGUUUUGAUCAUCUUGGGAGCUUGCGACUUCCAUGUCUUCAUUUAGAACGCGUUCCAAUGUUAACCGGACUCUCUGGAGGCCAUGCUCCAGGAGUGUUUCGUGGCUGAUGGCUGUAUUUAUCUGGGUGUGUUGUAGUUGCGGCUGCUGUGGUUGCGUCAGCGAUUGCAGGUUUCCUGUCCCCUGAGGUGAUGUCGUUAGCUGCUGUUGUGGCGUUACUGAUGCCUGUUGAGUCUGCAUUGGCAGAGUAUGCUGUGUUUGAUGAUUCUGCUGCCUCUCGUCCACAUAGUCUGGUAGGAUUAAUCGCUGGAUUGUUGGGGGUUGGCCUUGGAUGUUAGCCACUAGCUCUUCACGUGUAUUUGCUGGAGUUGGUGCCUGGCCUGGAUGACAGUCGUCGUUAGCUGAGUUUGUUGGAGUUGCGGCUGCUGUAGCUGCGGUUGCAACUGCGGAUUCACUGACUCCUGAGUUGGCGUAGUUAGCUGCUGUUGUUGCUG